GAUGAAGAACGUAGCGAAAUGCGAUACUUGGUGUGAAUUGCAGAAUCCCGUGAACCAUCGAGUCUUUGAACGCAAGUUGCGCCCGAAGCCAUUAGGCCGAGGGCACGCCUGCCUGGGCGUCACACGUCGUUGCCCCCCCAUCUACUCCUUCGGGAUUGCGGGGGGCGGAUGAUGGCCUCCCGUGCGCCUCGUCGCGCGGUUGGCCUAAAUGCCAAGUCCUCGGCGACGCACGCCACGACAAUCGGUGGUUGCGAAACCUCGGUUGCCUGUCGUGUGCGGUCGUCGCGCAUCGAGGGCUCGAAAAAAUUGCCGGGCUUCGGCUCGGCUUUCAACGCGACCCCAGGUCAGGCGGGGUUACCCGCUGAAUUUAAGCAUAUCAAUAAGCGGAGGA
rnacentral:misc_RNA from 1 species